rnacentral:rRNA from 1 species
AGCGAACGCUGGCGGUAGGCCUAACACAUGCAAGUCGAACGGCAGCACAGUAAGAGCUUGCUCUUACGGGUGGCGAGUGGCGGACGGGUGAGGAAUACAUCGGAAUCUACUUUUUCGUGGGGGAUAACGUAGGGAAACUUACGCUAAUACCGCAUACGACCUACGGGUGAAAGCAGGGGAUCUUCGGACCUUGCGCGAUUGAAUGAGCCGAUGUCGGAUUAGCUAGUUGGCGGGGUAAAGGCCCACCAAGGCGACGAUCCGUAGCUGGUCUGAGAGGAUGAUCAGCCACACUGGAACUGAGACACGGUCCAGACUCCUACGGGAGGCAGCAGUGGGGAAUAUUGGACAAUGGGCGCAAGCCUGAUCCAGCCAUACCGCGUGGGUGAAGAAGGCCUUCGGGUUGUAAAGCCCUUUUGUUGGGAAAGAAAAGCAGCAGGUUAAUACCCCGCUGUUCUGACGGUACCCAAAGAAUAAGCACCGGCUAACUUCGU